CACAGUCACAGGCAGCGUUGACCCACGGGAUCCCCACAGCAUCCUGGGAGCCUCGACCGAGCCCCGGGUUUCCAGGAGCUGUGGCCCAGAGGGCACGUUGACGUCCCCCUCUGGGCGCCAAUGCCUUCCUUCUCAGCACCUCAGGGGAAUGAGUCCUCUUCUCCCUGCGCUGCUCAUUUCCACCCCCACUGCUGUGGAGUCCCAGGGCGGGCCGUGGAGGCGUCCCCACAUCUCCUCGGAGGGAAAGUGAUCUGACAUGGAUGGCGGGAUCGAGUCUUCCGACUGAGCACCAGCAGCACCGGCGAGGCCGGAGGACCAGCACUGGUGCUUGCCCCGGGCUUAGCGUGGAGCCGAUGCCUGUGAAGAUUUGUGGUUGGAUGAAGAAUCAAGGAGGAAGAGCAGAUACGUCUUUCGAGGCCGGCAUCGUCUGACGGUCGGCCUUCCAGCCACCUGCGGCGGAGUAAUAGAUCACUCGGAACCCAGGGGCUGCAAAGCACAGGAGCAUUUUAUUGUUACCAUUCUUGUUCCCAGGAGGCGGUUGCGUGGAGACAGGGGGCUCCAGCCCUGGAGUUUCAUGCGUGGGGAGUGUGAGGAUCUGACACAGGCUUCCCGAAUCCCCUGGCCAGGGGAGGGGACAGAGCCCUGCCGUCGCAGCUUCCCGGGCGCCUAGCACUGCGUGGAUUAAUGCUGGACAGAUGGGCACCCCAAAACACAGGACUGUCACAGCCCUUCAUACAAAAGUCAUUUUAAGAAAAGAAUAAUUCUAUUCUUGCUGUAGACAUUUUAAAAGGAGCAUGGCUUUUGAUACGCAGGCAUAAAGCAUCUGACAACAGUAGGUAUUGUGCCUGCGUUGUACAGAACACCUCUGCAUUUCUCAGAUGUUUACAAAAACAGAACACUACAUAUUACACAGCUUUCACAUUAAAAUAUAAUUUCUGCUUCUCAUAAAUGUUUUGAAAAUGCAGAGGAAGCAAAGGGGGAAAACAAAAAGGAGGAAAUUCUCUACUAUUAAUAUUAUGAGAUGUAGCCUGCUGACAUUUUUAUUUUGCCCUUCCCUUUUUAACAAAAUAGGUCUUUGGUAGAAUUCUCCCUUAGAAGGUGAUUUUUAACUGACCAAGCAGUGAGCUAGAACAAUUUUCCCUAUCACUAAAUAUUCAUCUACUACAUCAUUUUCUUGCAGAGUUUAUACUGAUGAUGACAGAUUCAUUAUAAAAGUGCUUAAUAUGAAGAUAAAUAAAUAAGUCGUGAAACUUGA